rnacentral:rRNA from 1 species
GACGAACGCUGGCGGCGUGCUUAACACAUGCAAGUCGAACGGAAAGGCCCUGCUUUUGUGGGGUGCUCGAGUGGCGAACGGGUGAGUAACACGUGAGUAACCUGCCCUUGACUUUGGGAUAACUUCAGGAAACUGGGGCUAAUACCGGAUAGGAGCUCCUGCUGCAUGGUGGGGGUUGGAAAGUUUCGGCGGUUGGGGAUGGACUCGCGGCUUAUCAGCUUGUUGGUGGGGUAGUGGCUUACCAAGGCUUUGACGGGUAGCCGGCCUGAGAGGGUGACCGGCCACAUUGGGACUGAGAUACGGCCCAGACUCCUACGGGAGGCAGCAGUGGGGAAUAUUGCACAAUGGGCGGAAGCCUGAUGCAGCAACGCCGCGUGCGGGAUGGCGGCUUUCGGGUUGUAAACCGCUUUCGCCUGUGACGAAGCGUGAGUGACGGUAAUGGGUAAAGAAGCACCGGCUAACUACGUG